UUACGACCACAUCAUGUUGAAACAUUAGUUCACAUAUGAUCAUCGAAGUUAAGCAAUGUCGAGCCUGGUCAGUACUUAGAUGGGUGACCACUUGGGAAUACCAGGUUG